ensembl:lncRNA
CAAGCAUUCCAGCGUAUCGUGAGGUGGUUCCUGAUCUGCCUGUCCCGACCCAGUUUGUCUGAAUACUCGACCAAGGAUUUUUGCCUGCCCCCUUCUUGGAUUUUUUGCUUUUAUACAAGGUGGGGCUGCUGAGGCUACAUGGAGGAACAGCCCAUCCACUUCAGGUGUGUCUCCCUACCUCUUAUAUUAAGGCAUCGGUAGCUGAUGCGCUCUGUGUUUGCUAUAGUCAGCCACUUGUCUGGCUGGAGGUUGCGGCCCGAGGGAGCGUGGCGUCCGCUUUGUGCGCGUGGCGUCCAAUGUGCUGCACGGGAGCAUCUUUUGUGUCUCCCCCUUCCGCGUCAUCGACGGCGCCUGCCUGUCUGCCGACUGAGGUUGGAGGUGGAAGCGGGGCCUUCAAGCCGGUACAGAUCCCCUUAGGCGUAGCAUCCAAUUCCUACGCUAAAGCGGCGUCGUCGUGGUGCACCACCCUGGCGCAGGAGCACUGAAGCUUCUACGUCCCGCCAGUGGCUCACCUGCUGAAGCGGGCCUCUAAACAGAGCUGUUGGUGCCACGGGUAGGAGUGACUGGCUGAUCCCGGUGGUGGUUCCCUUCAUUUUUUUCUUUGCAGUGCACCUCUGUCAAUAGUUUGUGGUUUGUUUUGUUUUUCACGUGUGUUGGAACAUUAGGCCCCUUCCCCUCAGCAAGUCAACUCCGCCAGUUUUUGUUCUGUUAUUUGUUUAUGGAAUCACGUCCAGUGCCUGUGUCCUGUCAUUGACCUCAGACUGGUGGUCCCUAUUUAAUUCCUGGGGUGAAAUUUCCUAGGUGGCGGCGUUGGCUUUUAAUAGUAAAAUUUCAGAUCUUCCCCCUCAGCAUUGCCACAAUAUAAUUAGAAAUCUGAUUGCAAAUUAAGACAUGCAAUGCCACCUUUGCCCGAAAACCUACCCACGCACUACAAUAAUAAUGGAGCUGGAAGUUUGUUCUUUUGUCCACCUGUUUGUGCGAUGUGAAGGCACAGUCCCCCUCAAUAAAAAAAAAAAUGCUUUACCUUCUACAGUCUAUCACUAAAUCCUCAAAUCUGCCUGUUGAAAAACAAAUAGUGAACGAAAAUCACCAAAAGACCAUUUGCCUCCUUUGUUCUCUUCCCACGUUGGUUGGGAAAUAAAAUCAAUUGGCUGAAUUAGAACUGUGCGUGUGCAUUUGGGUCCACCGACUACACCACCACCACCUAACACAAUUUGUGCACACUGCAUUGUUAAAUAUGUUAAGGCAUUAUUGUGAGUGAUGCGUAUCCUGGAAUAUAUAUUGUAUAGAGAUUAUAAAGUUGUCCCUCC